GCGGCAUGCCUAGUACAUGCAAGUCGAACGAGCUUCCGUUGAAUGACGUGCUUGCACUGAUUUCAACAAUGAAGCGAGUGGCGAACUGGUGAGUAACACGUGGGGAAUCUGCCCAGAAGCAGGGGAUAACACUUGGAAACAGGUGCUAAUACCGUAUAACAACAAAAUCCGCAUGGAUUUUGUUUGAAAGGUGGCUUCGGCUAUCACUUCUGGAUGAUCCCGCGGCGUAUUAGUUAGUUGGUGAGGUAAAGGCCCACCAAGACGAUGAUACGUAGCCGACCUGAGAGGGUAAUCGGCCACAUUGGGACUGAGACACGGCCCAAACUCCUACGGGAGGCAGCAGUAGGGAAUCUUCCACAAUGGACGAAAGUCUGAUGGAGCAAUGCCGCGUGAGUGAAGAAGGGUUUCGGCUCGUAAAACUCUGUUGUUAAAGAAGAACACCUUUGAGAGUAACUGUUCAAGGGUUGACGGUAUUUAACCAGAAAGCCACGGCUAACUACGUGCCAGCAGCCGCGGUAAUACGUAGGUGGCAAGCGUUGUCCGGAUUUAUUGGGCGUAAAGCGAGCGCAGGCGGUUUUUUAAGUCUGAUGUGAAAGCCUUCGGCUUAACCGGAGAAGUGCAUCGGAAACUGAGAGACUUGAGUGCAGAAGAGGACAGUGGAACUCCAUGUGUAGCGGUGGAAUGCGUAGAUAUAUGGAAGAACACCAGUGGCGAAGGCGGCUGUCUAGUCUGUAACUGACGCUGAGGCUCGAAAGCAUGGGUAGCGAACAGGAUUAGAUACCCUGGUAGUCCAUGCCGUAAACGAUGAGUGCUAAGUGUUGGAGGGUUUCCGCCCUUCAGUGCUGCAGCUAACGCAUUAAGCACUCCG
rnacentral:rRNA from 2 species